AUUGAACGCUGGCGGAAUGCUUUACACAUGCAAGUCGAACGGCAGCACGGGGGCAGCCCUGGUGGCGAGUGGCGAACGGGUGAGUAAUACAUCGGAACGUGCCCGGUCGUGGGGGAUAACGUAGCGAAAGUUACGCUAAUACCGCAUACGAUCUAAGGAUGAAAGCGGGGGACCUUCGGGCCUCGCGCGAUCGGAGCGGCCGAUGUCAGAUUAGGUAGUUGGUGGGGUAAAGGCCUACCAAGCCGACGAUCUGUAGCUGGUCUGAGAGGACGACCAGCCACACUGGGACUGAGACACGGCCCAGACUCCUACGGGAGGCAGCAGUGGGGAAUUUUGGACAAUGGGCGCAAGCCUGAUCCAGCCAUUCCGCGUGCAGGACGAAGGCCUUCGGGUUGUAAACUGCUUUUGUACGGAACGAAAAGGCUCUGGCUAAUACCUGGGGCUCAUGACGGUACCGUAAGAAUAAGCACCGGCUAACUACGUG
rnacentral:rRNA from 1 species